rnacentral:tRNA from 1 species
AAUUAGAAAGCGAAAAUUUGCUCUUAGUUUCGACCUAAGCCUUGGUUUAAUACACCUCUAAUUG